rnacentral:rRNA from 1 species
GGUGAACGCUGGCGGCGUGCCUAAUACAUGCAAGUCGAGCGAACAGACGAGGAGCUUGCUCCUCUGACGUUAGCGGCGGACGGGUGAGUAACACGUGGAUAACCUACCUAUAAGACUGGGAUAACUUCGGGAAACCGGAGCUAAUACCGGAUAAUAUAUUGAACCGCAUGGUUCAAUAGUGAAAGACGGUUUUGCUGUCACUUAUAGAUGGAUCCGCGCCGCAUUAGCUAGUUGGUAAGGUAACGGCUUACCAAGGCAACGAUGCGUAGCCGACCUGAGAGGGUGAUCGGCCACACUGGAACUGAGACACGGUCCAGACUCCUACGGGAGGCAGCAGUAGGGAAUCUUCCGCAAUGGGCGAAAGCCUGACGGAGCAACGCCGCGUGAGUGAUGAAGGUCUUCGGAUCGUAAAACUCUGUUAUUAGGGAAGAACAAAUGUGUAAUUAACUAUGCACGUCUUGACGGUACCUAAUCAGAAAGCCACGGCUAACUACGUG